rnacentral:rRNA from 1 species
GGAAUAUUGGACAAUGGGCGCAAGCCUGAUCCAGCCAUGCCGCGUGAGUGAUGAAGGCCUUAGGGUUGUAAAGCUCUUUUGUCCGGGACGAUAAUGACGGUACCGGAAGAAUAAGCCCCGGCUAACUUCGUGCCAGCAGCCGCGGUAAUACGAAGGGGGCUAGCGUUGCUCGGAAUCACUGGGCGUAAAGGGCGCGUAGGCGGCCAUUCAAGUCGGGGGUGAAAGCCUGUGGCUCAACCACAGAAUUGCCCUCGAUACUGUUUGGCUUGAGUUUGGUAGAGGUUGGUGGAACUGCGAGUGUAGAGGUGAAAUUCGUAGAUAUUCGCAAGAACACCAGUGGCGAAGGCGGCCAACUGGACCAACACUGACGCUGAGGCGCGAAAGCGUGGGGAGCAAACAGGAUUAGAUACCCCGG